CGCCGCGUGAGGGAUGACGGCCUUAUCGGGUUGUAAACCUCUUUUAGUAGGGAAGAAGCGAAAGUGACGGUACCUGCAGAAAAAGCACCGGCUAACUACGUGCCAGCAGCCGCGGUAAUACGUAGGGUGCAAGCGUUGUCCGGAAUUAUUGGGCGUAAAGAGCUCGUAGGCGGUUUGUCGCGUCUGCUGUGAAAUCUGGGGGCUCAACCCCCAGCCUGCAGUGGGUACGGGCAGACUAGAGUGCGGUAGGGGAGAUUGGAAUUCCUGGUGUAGCGGUGGAAUGCGCAGAUAUCAAGAGGAACACCGAUGGCGAAGGCAGAUCUCUGGGCCGUAACUUACGCUGAGGAGCGAAAGCAUGGGGAGCGAACAGGAUUAGAUACCCUGGUAGUCCAUGCCGUAAACGUUGGGAACUAGAUGUGGGGGCCAUUCCACGGUCUCCGUGUCGCAGCUAACGCAUUAAGUUCCCCGCCUGGGGAGUACGGCCGCAAGGCUAAAACUCAAAGGAAUUGACGGGGGCCCGCACAAGCGGCGGAGCAUGCGGAUUAAUUCGAUGCAACGCGAAGAACCUUACCAAGGCUGUGACAUAUACCGGAAACAGUCCAGAGAUGGUCGCCCC
rnacentral:rRNA from 1 species